GCGCGGCCCACACAUGCAGUCGAGCGGAUGAAGGGAGCUGGCUCCUGGAUUCAGCGGCGGACGGGUGAGUAAUGGCUAGGAAUCUGCCUGGUAGUGGGGGAUAACGUCCGGAAACGGGCGCUAAUACCGCAUACGUCCUGAGGGAGAAAGUGGGGGAUCUUCGGACCUCACGCUAUCAGAUGAGCCUAGGUCGGAUUAGCUAGUUGGUGGGGUAAAGGCCUACCAAGGCGACGAUCCGUAACUGGUCUGAGAGGAUGAUCAGUCACACUGGAACUGAGACACGGUCCAGACUCCUACGGGAGGCAGCAGUGGGGAAUAUUGGACAAUGGGCGAGAGCCUGAUCCAGCCAUGCCGCGGGUGUGAAGAAGGUCUUCGGAUUGUAAAGCACUUUAAGUUGGGAGGAAGGGCAGUAAGUUAAUACCUUGCUGUUUUGACGUUACCAACAGAAUAGGCACCGGCUAACUGUCGUGCCAGCAGCCGCGGUAAUACGAAGGGUGCAAGCGUUAAUCGGAAUUACUGGGCGUAAAGCGCGCGUAGGUGGUUCAGCAAGUUGGAUGUGAAAUCCCCGGGCUCAACCUGGGAACUGCAUCCAAAACUACUGAGCUAGAGUACGGUAGAGGGUGGUGGAAUUUCCUGUGUAGCGGUGAACAUGCGUAGAUAUAGGAAGGAACACCAGUGGCUAAGGCGACCACCUGGACUGAUACUGACACUGAGGUGCGAAAGCGUGGGGAGCAAACAGGAUUAGAUACCC
rnacentral:rRNA from 1 species